GUACCACUAAGCAUCUGGGACAAAUUUUUGUUGACCAUACUCGCAGGUAAAAUAAGUAGAUCAUGUGGACAGCUCCAGCUCAUUUUCCUUAAAUCAACGUGUACAAGGGGUAUGCAAAAAUAAUUUUUUUCUCACGCACCGAUUAUUUUGCUGCAUAAGCUAGAGAACCCACCACGUUACUGUAACGUAUCUUGUACAUCACACUAAUAUGUGCUUUAAUUUACCAAGUGAGAUGAGUUACUUUUAUGGCUCAUUCAGGCAUAUCACACUGCAAGCUGCAUUCAUCAAUCUUGAAUUGGAUUUUGCAAAUGUUUAAUGAAACAUGUUUCCGUUUUAUGCAGAUAUGCAAUGGCAAGCCCUUCCGUGUGUUCCAAAGGUAAAAUUUAAGCUCUAAAUGAAAGAAGACAUUUCUAGUCAGAAACAGCAAGCAAAAAUGGUGAAUGCAGAGUAUCAGAAGCCCAAGGUACAAAAAUUAUGAGAAGUGUCGAAUGAUUUUAAGGAAAGAGUCGUAUUUGAAAAUGCAAGACUCUUUAGUGGAGGUCAAGCAAGUCAAUAUAGGUAGAAUACUCUGCAAAAUUAUGCGAGUGAGGGGAUGUCAAACAAUGGGUCAGGAAAUGCGUUGUUUUUCUGCAAAACAAAAGCUGCUUGCCAUUACAUAAGUCACUUUAGCAUCAUGAGACUGCUGCUUGAUAAAUUCAGAAAUAAACCAAAAAAUCAAGACAAGCAAAUAUAAAAAACACUUUAAUGAUGCUCUCUUCACACUGGAAUCAAUAAAAACAAACACAUCACAUCUAAUGUGGACAUAUCAGACGCCUUCUGAAACACUAAAGGAAAAAUUCAGUUUCGAGCUAUGGCACUUGCCACAUAGAUGUGGGGGGCAUUGCACUAAUAGUGACAGUUACCACUGCAUUUAGAAAUUGAAAGCAUUCAUGCAGACAAGGCUGAUUCUUUAUAUUUUUGGCUACCACUUCAAAUGCCUCCACCAAGUGUUACAAUGCUGCACGCAGCCAUACUAAGGAUCUCGCAGGAACACAUGCAGGUAAAAAGCAGAAGCAGUCAAAGUGAUGGUGUGUACUGGACACUAUGUAUGAAAACAUUUAGGCAAGAAGAGUGCAAGAAGCAGACAUAACAACUGCAUUUAUUUCCACAAUUCCCCAUUUGAAGGGCCUUUUCUUUUUGCUUAGACAAUGUCUACGCCUAGCCACAGCAGCUCCCUCAUACAGACUCCGCAAGCCAAGAGACCGUGGAGGCAAAUGCAAGCAGCCAGCACACCUCGAACAGCCACCUUGACUGCAGGUGUGUCAGUUGAUUCCUGUUGUACAUAUGCUCAUAAUAAACUUAAGUAAAUUUGAACUUGAUAAUAAACUUGAAGGCAAAUGGGAAA
rnacentral:lncRNA from 1 species